rnacentral:rRNA from 1 species
GACGAACGCUGGCGGCGUGCUUAACACAUGCAAGUCGAACGGUAAGGCCCUUCGGGGUACACGAGUGGCGAACGGGUGAGUAACACGUGGGUGAUCUGCCCUGCACUUCGGGAUAAGCCUGGGAAACUGGGUCUAAUACCGGAUAGGACCAUGCGCUUCACGGCGUGUGGUGGAAAGCUUUUGCGCUAUGAGAUGGGCCCGCGGCGCAUUAGCUAGUUGGUGAGGUAACGGAUCACCAAGGCGACGAUGCGUAGCCGACCUGAGAGGGUGAUCGGCCACAUUGGGACUGAGACACGGCCCAGACUCCUACGGGAGGCAGCAGUGGGGAAUAUUGGACAAUGGGGGCAACCCUGAUCCAGCCAUGCCGCGUGAGUGAUGAAGGCCUUAGGGUUGUAAAGCUCUUUUACCCGGGUCGAUAAUGACUGUACCGGGAGAAUAAGCCCCGGCUAACUUCGUGCCAGCAGCCGCAGUAA